rnacentral:rRNA from 1 species
AACGAACGCUGGCGGCGUGCCUAAUACAUGCAAGUUGAGCGAUGAAGUUUGGUGCUUGCACCCAUUUGAAGAGCAGCGAACGGGUGAGUAACGCGUGGGGAAUCUGCCUUUGAGCGGGGGACAACAUUUGGAAACGAAUGCUAAUACCGCAUAACAACUUUAAACAUAAGUUUUAAGUUUGAAAGAUGCAAUUGCAUCACUCAAAGAUGAUCCCGCGUUGUAUUAGCUAGUUGGUGAGGUAAAGGCGCACCAAGGCGAUGAUACAUAGCCGACCUGAGAGGGGGAGCGGCAACAUUGGGACGGGGACACGGCCCAAACCACUACGGGAGGGACCAGGAGGGAAUUUUCGGGAAUGGAAGAAAGUCGGAAUGAGCGACGCCGCGUGAGUGAAUGAGGUUGUCGGGUCGCAAAAGUCUGGUAGGAGAGAGGAUUGUAGGGGAGUGUUGACAGCGAAGAAAGUGACGGUACCGACACAGAAAGGGACGGCUAACUACGUG